ACGAAUUUUAUCCACUGUAUGUACUCCUAAACUCUUUUAAGAAAAAAUGUUGAAGACUGGUUUUCUCAGAGAAACUAUUUUUAUUAAGCAAGAGCAGAUUAGUAUAUGCGCUUUUUUAUCAAUGAAACCUAAAACCUUUCGCACGGCGCUCCAAAGAUUUCCAAAUAAAUUGCCAUAAAGUGCAUUGAGAGAAAACUGGUUGGUCGCGAGUACUGUUUGGUUACAAGUGGCACCUGCUACAUCCAUUUCGCCCGGAGCUGUUAAGCAACAUUGGCACUGUGAUCCGAUGAGUAUGAUUUGUUUUUGUUGUUUCUGUUAUUUUAUGUAGUGUUGUUGUUAACAGUCGUGCGGUGCUCUCUGCACAACUUUAAGCGUUUUAGCUGUUACUUUUUGUUGCAGGCCUUUUAUUGUAGUGUUUCGUUUUACGACAAUCGUAAUAACCAACGCGACUACUUUCAUUGAUGAGCGCUUACGCCAAACCGAGCCAUAGAGACUUUCAGCGAGGGCAUUGCAAACUAGAGGAGUUAGCAAAGAAGGAAAGGGAAGGCGAAGUAAUUUCACGUACGCUGGUCAUUUCAAAGGCACUUUACAGGCUUUAUUUUAUACUACAGGCUUUUCAUCUUCCGCAGCCGCCUUUCCAAUCAACUAUUCUGCGUUGAACGUAACUGAACUGAAUAAUAUCUCGGGUUUACCCAUUCACUCUGAAUGCCGCAGCCAAAUAGAACAUUUUGGAAAUUAUAACACUGGUCAAUAUGGACGACCAUAGUCGAACAAUAGUUCACUUGUUAUAAUUGUGGUAUCACCACGGCAAUAAAGUUGUGACUUCCAGCUUUCUUGUAUGCUUGAGUAUUCGCAGCGGACUGUGUCUUAUUUCUUUACGGAAAAAUGAACAUGCUGUACAAUUUCCUCUAAAAAAUUGAGGUUAUAAUGAGGAUAAAGCGUGCAUAUAAUCAGAAAGUGAGAUUAAAGCAAAAUUAUGCUGCUUCUAAGAACUUUUAAAUUAACCGUGAAAUCAUUGCGCUGUUGGUGGCAAAGCGACUCUCCUACCGCGGGCAUGGGAGCUGCAUUACACAAUAAACGGUUGGCUCCCUGUACUAUUCCUGUGAGUGUUUACCCAAUACACAAAUUAUUUUCCAAAUCACAUGAGAAAACACACAACGACACAGAAUGUGGGCGCAGAACACUAACCGGUACAUAUUAGCUCGGAUCAGGUUGUUAUUGUAGUUACUGUUAUAUAUUUGUUAAUCGUUAAUUAAAAUAUGAUAAAAUAUAUGUACAUAUUUAAAAGAUGAUGUUCCACUUUGCCGAAAAUAGAAGAGAAAAGAGAAGCGAAUAAUGAAUAUGUGAAAAAACCUCAUCAAUUAUGCUACAAUUUAAAAAAAUAAAAUUCUAUAACAUGCAGCACCAA